rnacentral:ncRNA from 1 species
AUUAUUCAAAGGAAUUACAGAUUGUACUGACCCCUUACCGAACGAUUGCUUUCCAACAAUUAUAGCUCUACCAUUAUCUUGUAAAGCACCAGCAACAAUUUCUGAAGCAGAGGCUGAUCCCUCGUUAAUCAAUACAACCAUAGGUAAAUUUGGUAUUAGAUCUUGAUCAUUUAAAGACUUAUACUCUUUCAUUAAAGUACCAUUUUUACCCUUAAUACUUACAAUUUUUUUGCCUUUAUCCAAGAAAGCAUCGGAAACAAAAACCGAAGCAUCCAAAAGGCCACCAGGAUUAUUUCUU